rnacentral:rRNA from 1 species
AUGGAGUGCGAGACCGGCCUCGUCGGUUCCCUCAACGGCGAGGGCCUCUGUAUGUCGGCCCCCCGCGCCGACCCCCUCAACUGGGUGAAGACCGCCGAGGAGCUCACCGGGAGCCACCUCGACGAGGUGAAGAAGAUGGUGGCGCAGUUCCGCGAGCCACUGGUCACCAUCGAGGGCGCCUCCCUCGGGAUCGCGCAGGUGGCCGCCGUGGCCGCUGGCGCUGGCGUCGCCAGGGUCGCGCUCGACGAGUCCGCCCGCGGCCGCGUCAAGGAGAGCAGCGACUGGGUCAUGAACAGCAUGAUGAACGGCACCGACAGCUACGGCGUCACCACCGGCUUCGGGGCCACCUCCCACCGCCGGACCAAGGAGGGCGGCGCGCUCCAGAGAGAGCUCAUCAGGUUCCUUAACGCCGGUGCCUUCGGGACUGGCACGGACGGACACGUUCUGCCCGCCGAGGCGACACGCGCGGCUAUGCUCGUCCGCAUCAACACCCUUCUGCAGGGUUACUCUGGCAUCCGCUUCGAGAUCCUCGAAGCCAUCACCAAGCUGCUCAAUGCCAAUGUCACGCCGUGCCUGCCGCUCCGUGGCACGAUCACCGCGUCCGGUGACCUUGUGCCGCUGUCCUACAUUGCCGGCCUUAUCACCGGCCGACAGAACUCUGUUGCGGUGGCCCCUGAUGGCAGCAAGGUGACCGCUGCCGAGGCAUUCAAGAUCGCCGGGAUCGAGCACGGGUUCUUUGAGCUGCAGCCCAAGGAAGGCCUUGCCAUGGUGAACGGCACGGCUGUGGGCUCUGGUCUUGCAUCGACCGUGCUCUUUGAGGCCAAUGUUCUUUCCGUCCUUGCCGAGGUCUUGUCUGCCGUGUUCUGCGAGGUGAUGAACGGCAAGCCGGAGUUCACUGACCACUUGACCCACAAGCUGAAGCACCACCCUGGACAGAUAGAAGCGGCUGCAAUCAUGGAGCACAUCUUGGAGGGAAGCUCAUACAUGAAGCAGGCCAAGAAGCUUGGGGAGCUCGACCCGUUGAUGAAGCCGAAGCAGGACCGGUAUGCCCUCCGCACAUCGCCUCAGUGGCUCGGCCCACAAAUCGAAGUUAUUCGAUUUGCCACCAAGUCGAUUGAGCGUGAGAUCAACUCCGUCAAUGACAACCCGCUCAUCGACGUCUCCCGUGGCAAGGCCAUCCACGGUGGCAACUUCCAAGGCACCCCCAUCGGUGUCUCCAUGGACAACACCCGCCUCGCCAUUGCUGCUAUUGGCAAGCUGAUGUUCGCGCAGUUCUCGGAGCUCGUGAACGACUUCUACAACAAUGGCCUGCCAUCCAACCUGUCCGGUGGACGCAACCCGAGCUUGGACUAUGGUUUCAAGGGCGCCGAGAUCGCCAUGGCCUCAUACUGCUCUGAGCUGCAGUUUUUGGGCAACCCGGUGACUAACCAUGUCCAGAGCGCAGAGCAGCACAACCAGGAUGUGAACUCACUUGGUCUGAUCUCAUCCAGGAAGACUGCCGAGGCCAUUGACAUCUUGAAGAUCAUGUCAUCCACGUUCCUGGUCGCUCUGUGCCAGGCCAUUGACCUCCGCCACAUUGAGGAGAACAUGAAGACAGCGGUGAGGAACUGCGUGAUGCAGGUGGCCAAGAAGACACUGAGCAUGAACAACAUGGGCGGCCUCCACAUCGCCCGCUUCUGCGAGAAGGAUCUGCUGACCGCGAUCGACCGCGAGGCGGUGUUCGCGUACGCGGACGACCCCUGCAGCCCCAACUACCCGCUGAUGCAGAAGCUGCGGGCGGUGCUGGUCGAGCACGCGCUGGCCAACGGCGACGGCGAGCGCGCCCUGGAGACCUCCAUCUUCGCCAAGGUGGCGGAGUUCGAGCAGAACAUCCGCGCGGCGCUGCCCAAGGAGGUGGAGGCCGCGCGCGCGUCCGUGGAGAACGGCACGCCGCUGGCUCCGAACCGGAUCAAGGACUGCCGCUCCUACCCGCUCUACCAGUUCGUGCGCGAGGUGUGCGGCACCGAGUACCUGACCGGCGAGAAGACGCGGUCGCCCGGGGAGGAGCUGAACAAGGUGCUGGUGGCCAUGAACGAGCGCAAGCACAUCGACCCGCUGCUCGAGUGCCUCAAGGAGUGGAACGGCGCGCCGCUGCCGCUCUGCUGA